rnacentral:rRNA from 1 species
AACGCGAAGAACCUUACCUACCCUUGACAUGCCCGGAAUCCCGCAGAGAUGUGGGAGUGCCCGAAAGGGAGCCGGGACACAGGUGCUGCAUGGCUGUCGUCAGCUCGUGUCGUGAGAUGUUGGGUUAAGUCCCGCAACGAGCGCAACCCUUGUCACUAGUUGCUACGAAAGGGCACUCUAGUGAGACUGCCGGUGACAAACCGGAGGAAGGUGGGGAUGACGUCAAGUCCUCAUGGCCCUUAUGGGUAGGGCCUCACACGUCAUACAAUGGCCGGUACAAAGGGCUGCCAACCCGCGAGGGGGAGCUAAUCCUGGAAAGCCGGUCGUAGUCCGGAUUGCAGUCUGCAACUCGACUGCAUGAAGUCGGAAUCGCUAGUAAUCGUGGAUCAGCAUGUCACGGUGAAUACGUUCCCGGGCUUGUA